rnacentral:misc_RNA from 1 species
CUAAGUGGGAUUGUCACAUGAUUCUUAGUCAUAACUUUCCACAAGAUUCGGGGAUGAUCUCUGGGCAAGACGCCAUUGACUAGUUUGUCAGCCGCUUCUGGUACAUAGCUUGUCAUCGAGGCAACAAAUAAGAUGUAUAUCUUGUGAACAUGUCUUCACGAUGAAAUUUUUGUCAAUUAAAGGAUAUGAAUGAAAUAGAAAGGAAAGUGUUACAAAGGAACCAUUGUAAUAUUGUGGAGGUCAUUGAACCCUUAGAACUAAGGCCGUUUCUGUAUUCAAAAGGUGUUCUCCCGAAUCCGACAUUCCUGGGUGAUGAUCGGGUAAGAACAAGAAGGGCAGAAAAGUUUAUCGAGUAUAUAGUUGAAAACUGUUCAUUUUCCCUGUUUCUCGAUUCGUUAUCAAAGGACAGUGCGUAUGAUUUCCUUGCACAGAAACUGCAGCUAGAGUUAGAUGACAUAUCAAAAGAUGAUACUGAAAGUCGGUAUGUGCCUUAUGAAAUAAAGGAGUCAUUAUUCACACCAGAGCGUGCUAAAGCAAUAUGGUUUCGACACGAACUCAAACGCUAUUCCAUGACAGGGAAUAAUGAAGCAUUCCUUCAAAGAAGUAAAACUAUUACCGAUAGGUGGAAUGCCAUACCCAAAGAAAAGAUUUUUCUCGAAAAUAAUCAAGAAUUGGCGGAUAUGUAUUUCAUGGUUCUAGACGCAACCAUGGAAAGAAGACGAAUUGUGUACGACACGACUCUUUAUAACGACGAUGAAUUGUUUGGUAAGAUGCAAGAGAUGUCUUUAUACACUUCCUCUGCUACACUACCUACAGCUAUGCGUCUAGCACGUUACGGUUCAGCUCUUCUAAUGGCAGGAAGGCCGGUGGAGGAAGCACUCAGUUACGUGGAAGAAGCAAAACAGCGACUUCAAACACUCCCAGCAUGUAGAGAGUCUGGAGUAAUUCUGUAUAUUGAAUACAACAUGCUGAUUUCAGAAAGAUACGAAAAAGAUCCUACCGUUAAAAUGAAGAAUCUACUGUUAAAAAUCGGAAGUGAGUCAAUUGACCAUUUUUGUCGAGAACAGGAAACGGUUGGAAAAGAUUUCCGUAGAAUGGUGUUGAUAAAACAAGCACUGUUACUUCUAGGCAUAGGACUUUUCCUAAACGACGUAGAUAAUGUUUUUGUCACGGAUGAAGACAAAAAACAAGCUGAAACAAUUUUGCAAGAAAUCCGAAAAGAGGAGAAUUGGAAAAGAAUGGAACAUCGCUGGCAUGUUGCAUACUAUGUAGCAAAUAGCAAACUACUCCGUCUCGAAGGACAAAGUGAAAAAGCAUUGGAUGAGAUGCAAAAAGCUUCGAAAUAUGCAAUAGAUGGAACGUUUAAAAAGGAGCUUGGUAAUAUAAAAAAAUCUGUGGUUUUCCAAAGUGGAAAACGAGAAUGGAACUUCAAGAAUGCGCUACUUCUUUUUUCGUUCAUCAUUCUAUUAAUAGCAGUGGUGUAUCAGAUAGUGUUUCAUUAAUCAUGAGAAGACCUACUAUGUUCAAUGCUGUGGUGUAGAAGUUAAUUAGGACCAUUCAGCUAGAAGGUGCAAGCGCCACGGGCUACAGAUGGGAAUCCUUGUGUGAACACAUGAGGGGGAGGAGAACAGCGAUACAGAUUCAGGGGACUCCUCCGAUGACUACCAGAGGCAUCGUCAAAGGAGUAGCAACAUAAGAUGCCCACUUACUCGGGUAAAGAGCGCUGGGAACAAUUCGCUCUUAUUUUCACCAGGAUAAUAAAGGACAAUAAAUGGUCGGACCGUAAGACCAAACAACGGUUUUUCGAUUGUCUGGUGGGGGAUGCGUUGGAGUACGCCGAUAAGCUUCCACGAACUCUUGGGUUCACAAAACUCAAGAAAAAGAUGAAGGAACGGUUUAGCGACAAGGGCGUC